AUUAGAUACCCUGGUAGUCCACGCAGUAAACGAUGAGCACUAAUUGUCCGGUCCGAAUGAGGACUGGGUGAUACAGCGAAAGCGUUAAGUGCUCCACCUGGGGAGUACGCCGGCAACGGUGGAACUCAAAGGAAUUGACGGGGGCCCGCACAAGCGGAGGAACAUGUGGUUUAAUUCGAUGAUACGCGAGGAACCUUACCCGGGCUCAAACGCGGCGUGAAUACUUUUGAAAGGAGGUAGUCAGCAAUGACACGCCGCGAGGUGCUGCAUGGUUGUCGUCAGCUCGUGCCGUGAGGUGUCGGCUUAAGUGCCAUAACGAGCGCAACCCCUACCGUCAGUUGCCAACAGGUAAGGCUGGGGACUCUGACGGGACUGCCGGCGCAAGCUGCGAGGAAGGCGGGGAUGACGCCAAAUCAGCACGGCCCUUACGUCCGGGGCGACACACGUGUUACAAUGGCAGGUACAGCGGGAAGCCACCUGGCGACAGGGCGCGGAACCCGAAAACCUGUCUCAGUUCGGAUUGGAGUCUGCAACCCGACUCCAUGAAGCUGGAUUCGCUAGUAAUCGCGCAUCAGCCACGGCGCGGUGAAUACGUUCCCGGGCCUUGUACACACCGCCCGUCAAGCCAUGGAAGCCGGGAGUGCCUGAAGUGCGUGACCGCAAGGAGCGCCCUAAGGCAAUACCGGUGACUGGGGCUAAGUCGUAACAAGGUAGCAAGGGCGAAUUCGCGG
rnacentral:rRNA from 1 species